UGAUAAGAAAUCUGGCCUGCUCUAUGUAAAUGGCCGCGGUAUUUUGACCGUGCUAAGGUAGCAUAAUCAUUUGUUUUUUAAUUGGAGACUGGUAUGAAGGGUUGGACAAGGGAGUAGCUGUCUUAAAUGAAUGAAUCUUGUGUUUAAUGUGAAAAGACAUGAGGGAAGAGAAGACCCUAUUGAGUUUUAUUAUUUUACUGGGGCGGUAUUGAUGAGAGUAGGAUUAAAUUACCAUAGGGAUAACAGCGUGAAAUAUUUGGAGAGUUCAUAUUAAUAAGUAGUUUUGCGACCUCGAUGUUGAAUUAAGAUUUUUUGGUGUAGGACUUUUAAAACCUUACA
rnacentral:rRNA from 1 species